ensembl:lncRNA
CGUGGGGAGUCGUAAUACCAUCAGCAGGAAAUGCUGCCGGGGGUUUUCUAUUUUUCUUUCCUCACAGCCAGCGGAAAGGGGAAAAACCCCAUCAUGUCAGCCGUCCAAUCCCGAAGGACGAAAGGAGGGACAAACAGGAUAUAGACCAGCCGCACACAGGCUCAUUCCGCUGACUUCGGGCCGUCUGGGCGCCUUCAUCUCCAUGUCCUCCGCCGUGACAGAAGUGGAUCCAGCAGCUAAAUCAAUCAGGCAUCAGAGCUCUCACCUGGGCGGGCUGAUUGAUGGAGACACUAGCUGCACCUGAUAUCCUCAUAUUUCGUCCAUUUUGUGGACUCGCCCUGCUGAGCCUUCGCCGCUGCUCUCCCUGCGGAGUGUAUUUGGGCUGAGGGGGUGAUGGAUGUUGGAGGCUUUUAAC